rnacentral:tRNA from 1 species
GCCUGGGUGGCUCAGUCAGUUGAGCGUCUGACUUCUGCUCAGGUCAUGACCUCACGGUUCACGGGUUCAAGCCCCAUGUCGGGCU